rnacentral:rRNA from 1 species
CCCUUAGUUAUCCUAGGCCGCACGCGUGUUACAAUGACUUUUUCAGCAAGUUCUCCUGGCCCGAGAGGGUGCGGGUAAUCUGAAAUCAAAGCCGUGUUAGGGAUAGAUCUUUGCAAUUAUAGAUCUUGAACGAGGAUUUUGUAGUAAGUGCGCGUCAUCACCGCGUACUGACUGCGUCCCUGCUGUUUGUACACACCGCCCGUCGCUUCUACCGAUUGAAUGUUCCGGUGAGUAAUUUGGACCCGGGGGGGCUUGCUCCUCUGGGGAAGUUUCGCAAACCUAUGCAUUUAGAGGAAGAAGAAGUCGUAACA